GGAGAGGUGGCCGAGUGGUCCAAGGCGCUGCAUACACAUAUUAAAAGUUUCUGCCUCUGGGCAGAAACAUCCAUGCAGUCUGUCCUCCAAGACAGUCGUGGGUUCGAAUCCCUCCCUUUCCC